rnacentral:rRNA from 1 species
CGGCAAAAGCUCAAAUUUGAAAUCUGGCUCUUUCAGGGUCCGAGUUGUAAUUUGUAGAAGAUGUUUCGGGUGUGGCUCCGGUUUAAGUUCUUUGGAAUAUUACAUCAUAGAGGGUGAGAAUCCCGUAUGUGACCGGCAGCCUCCGCCUAUGUGAAACUCUUUCGAC